GGACGAACGCUGGCGGCGUGCUUAACACAUGCAAGUCGAACGGAAAGGCCCUGCUUGCAGGGUACUCGAGUGGCGAACGGGUGAGUAACACGUGGGUGAUCUGCCCUGCACUUCGGGAUAAGCCUGGGAAACUGGGUCUAAUACCGGAUAGGAGCCAUUUUUAGUGUGAUGGUUGGAAAGUUUUUUCGGUGUAGGAUGAGCUCGCGGCCUAUCAGCUUGUUGGUGGGGUAAUGGCCUACCAAGGCGGCGACGGGUAGCCGGCCUGAGAGGGUGGACGGCCACAUUGGGACUGAGAUACGGCCCAGACUCCUACGGGAGGCAGCAGUGGGGAAUAUUGCACAAUGGGCGCAAGCCUGAUGCAGCGACGCCGCGUGGGGGAUGACGGCCUUCGGGUUGUAAACUCCUUUCGCUAGGGACGAAGCUUUUGUGACGGUACCUAGAUAAGAAGCACCGGCUAACUACGUG
rnacentral:rRNA from 1 species